CAUCCUACUGGCAGAGGUGUAGGCACUGGCCAGACCAUCACUGGCCACCACCAUGGGUGCCAUCAUCCACACGCACCGCAAACACACAGCUCCUGCCUGCUGGUGCUCACGCAGAUCAGAGGCAGCUCAGCCUCCUUCCCGGGAAACGGCAUUUACAAAAAUAGAAAGCUGGAAAUGCCACUGCACGGUAGCUAAAUAUAGCCUCACCGACAGACGAGCCGCAGCGCUCGCUCCAAAAACCAAGGCACAGGAGGCCAGCCCUGAUGUGGGGAAGCAACACUGCAUCCCAGAGGAAGGGUUUCUCUGGUUCAUGCUGGUUGAUGCUGGUGACUGAGAAUGCUGCCAGAAUUUGCUGGGGUCAGGAUGCUGCUGUAGCCAGGUCUGCUUACCAGGAAAAUGGGAC
rnacentral:lncRNA from 1 species